rnacentral:rRNA from 1 species
GACGAACGCUGGCGGCGUGCCUAAUACAUGCAAGUAGAACGCAGUUGCGAACGGGUGAGUAACGCGUAGGUAACUGCCUCAUAGCGGGGGAUAACUAUUGGAAACGAUAGCUAAUACCGCAUACUGUGAGAUGGACCUGCGUUGUAUUAGCUAGUUGGUGAGGUAAAGGCUCACCAAGGCGACGAUACAUAGCCGACCUGGGAGGGUGAUCCGGCACACUUGGACUGGAACACGGCCCAGACCCCUACUGGAGGCAGCAAGAGGGGAACUUCGGCAAUUGACGGAAAGCUGAACGAGCAACGCCGGGGGGGUGAAGGAGGUUUUCGGAUCGUAAAGCUAUGUUGUUCGGGGAGCGGUAACUAACCAGAAAGGGACGGCUAACUACGUGCCAGCAGCCGCGGUAAUAC